GAAAUCAAGGGUGGGUGAGGCCUAUGAUAUACAAGGAAGGCGACCCAUACUUGGUUUCCU
rnacentral:pre_miRNA from 1 species